rnacentral:rRNA from 1 species
GACGAACGCUGGCGGCGUGCUUAGCACAUGCAAGUCGAACGGAAAGGCCCUGCUUUUGUGGGGUGCUCGAGUGGCGAACGGGUGAGUAACACGUGAGUAACCUGCCCUUGACUUUGGGAUAACUUCAGGAGACUGGGGCUAAUACCGGAUAGGAGCUCCUGCUGCAUGGUGGGGGUUGGAAAGUUUCGGCGGUUGGGGAUGGACUCGCGGCUUAUCAGCUUGUUGGUGGGGUAGUGGCUUACCAAGGCUUUGACGGGUAGCCGGCCUGAGAGGGUGACCGGCCACAUUGGGACUGAGAUACGGCCCAGACUCCUACGGGAGGCAGCAGUGGGGAAUAUUGCACAAUGGGCGGAAGCCUGAUGCAGCAACGCCGCGUGCGGGAUGACGGCCUUCGGGUUGUAAACCGCUUUCGCCUGUGACGAAGCGUGAGUGACGGUAAUGGGUAAAGAAGCACCGGCUAACUACGUG